rnacentral:rRNA from 1 species
CACGUCUGUCAAAACUGGUUAGGCGAGGUACGAAGGCGUCCGUUAGGCGGAGCAGGGUGAGGGCGUGGUCGGCAGUGUGUUUGGGAUCGGAACAAAAGGGAGCUAGGGGUGUCGGAGGGCGAGGGGAGGAGGUAGGGGGAGGAGCGCAGUGGUGCCGGAGGCGGGACCCUCGGGACGGCGGCGGAGAGGAGGUGGGGGAGGAGCGCAGCGGUGCCGGAGGCGGGACCUCAGGGCGGCGGCGGACGAUAAGGAGGAGGUGGUGCGAUCGGGGAGAUGGAGCAGAAGGAAGAGAAGUAACAACCAAGGUCUAGUUCGUGCCCAAUCCGCUCGGGUCACCACCCCACUUCCCCGUCCCCUUCUCCUCCACCCAUUGAUCCACUUCCUCGUCCAGCCGGGAGGAUCUCCGCCGCGGCGGCGGGUCGGUCCCUCCUCCGGUCUGAGAGGAGGUCCGAGCGGAGACAAAACGGGACUCGUCGCCGUCGCGGAUACGGAGGUGGGGUGGAAGAAAAGGUACGGAGAAGGAACCGUACUGUCCGUCUAAAACUCCUACCCCUCUGGGGUACCCGAUCCACAGGAAGGAGGAGAACCACUGUAUAUUCUCCUGGACGUUGUGACUUGGCCCUUCAGGAAAAAAUCCGUCACCAGUACCUCGUUGUUAUAUACGACGCACCGUAACGUCCAAUAAAAGGCGGGGCCAGCUAGGUCCGUGCCGCAACCUACCCUCUCUCGUCCCCUCCCGGUUCUCCGGUCGCCACACCCCACCUCGUCGCUCCGGCUUCUGGUCCGUCGCCUGCGGAGUGCCCCACCUCCUCUCCAGCCUCUAUCCCUUUUCGUCGUAGAAGUACCUACUCUAGGACUGCCGACUUCUACCACGUGUGCCCUCCUAGAACCUUCUACAGUUCCCCGCGGCGCUCCUCACCUCAUUCGAUUUAUGGACUGACCGACCUAGUAAAAACCCGAGAAAUGUCUAAAUAGCUGAAGUUUACCAAUAGAGUAUCAACUUCGUUUACCACCAGACUUAGUUGUCACAGAAAAAUAGACGCUACGUCAACAACACCGGUCGAACGAAUUACGUUGAGAACACUAGGGUUAUAAAGUAAACUUAUCGCAAACCGCGCUAGGAUCGAAACACCCGCUCACUUACGUACUACUACCGUCGAACCACAAACGUAUUAUGUUCCCUUCCUCGACGACUCGGUUGAGAGUACAUGAAGUGUACUCGACUUUCUCCAACCAUACUACGACGCUCCGUACCCCAAACUGUUAUGUUGGAAGGAGAUACAACGGAGGCCAUUUUAUAUGUUACGACGUUUUAUGUACCGAGGGGAAGCGGUCUACAAGGGAGAAAAUGUUUGGUUCCUGUGAGAACGUAACAGACUUCUCGAACGACUCAAACUCCCCAUGAGAAGAGCCAAUCGUCGUAAUCUAAUGUGGCAGACACAAGUCUCGCUUCACAAACACUGCUGAGUUCCCACCUUGAAGGGAGUGAAAAACUACCCUGUGUCCGCAAUGGAUAAUCCUCCCUUACGUUUCUGUUAUUUUGCACUGUUUGCCUUCGACCAGAAUAGAAAACUGCUGGGUUUAUAGUCCUCAGCUAAGUUCGUGGUGUACGACCUUUAUGACGUGGUAUCACUGUAUUCCCCGUAGUGUAAGUCCUUUGGAUUACUAAGGUAUAUGUGGAAGGGUUACGGACUAACGUACACGGUUGUUCUACCUUAUACUAGAUCCGCAAUCGUAUGUAUUAACUCCAUACGUAUAGGAGAUGGAAACACGUUGUUUCCGUGGUUUCCGUGCUGUAACAACUGACGUACUAAUCCUAAACUACCAGUACUACUUUUGACCUCACUUUAUUUCGUAAACCACGAAGAGUCCUCUAAGAUUUUGGGAGACCGUAUGGGGUUUGGCAAGCUAAGACCUAUAUUACCAGUUUUCCACGGAUUACUGUUACUUAAGGUAUCCUAGUCUUUAACUCUUCUACACUCCCUAAAACAUUUCAAUCAUUAGACAUCCAUCAGGUGGUAUAUCGUUAGAGGUAAACAAGUUAGACAGACAUCCAACAAUUUCUUUUCUCGAUGCUCUAACCCAACAUCUAUACUCAUGUUGGACUCACGGAGUUACAUAUAAUUUUUUGUUCGCGAUUGUUGUUGUUUCUUUCCUUAAAAGGUCAUAUAGUAAUGAGGAGUCACGAACAAGAGCGUAAAGUAGAACGGGAACUGUUAAGUAUAAAUACUCGUACAAGAAUAUCAAGUCUGGAUUGCAAGAAAAAAGAAAGGAACCCGUGAAGGAGUUCUUAGAACAACUCCACAGACAAAGGGGAGAAACACAGUACUUACUAACACUACAAACACCAGAAGAAAAAAGAAAAAGAAACUAUACAUAACCUAUACGAUGAGCGUAGAAACUUGUACGUAUCCCGGAGAGUCAGAAAUUGGGACUGAUAUUUUUAGGUAACUACCUUCGACCCCUCCCGGCUCUACUUGUAGGCCGAGGGACCCAGAUUCGGUAGCUCUACCAUCUCUACUGCAAAGGUACAGUAAAUGAGGUCGUGGGCCUGUUCCGUAUAUUUUUGGUACCUAGGAAACGAGGGGUCCGGUGUUUUACUAGUGUCACUACAAAUGCUGGAGGAGGAUCUACAUAAUUAGUGUUAGAGUACUAACCAAAAGAAGGGGAAAGAGAAGAUUACUACAUUAAAGAAAAUGAUUCUAUUGUGGUACAAACAACAUUACGGAAUAAACUACAUUCUAGGGAAAAGAUGAAACUUACUUAAAUG